rnacentral:rRNA from 1 species
AGCGAACGCUGGCGGCAGGCUUAACACAUGCAAGUCGAGCGGGCACUUUCGGGUGUCAGCGGCGGACGGGUGAGUAACGCGUGGGAACGUGCCCUCUGGUUCGGAAUAACUCAGGGAAACUUGAGCUAAUACCGGAUACGCCCUUUUGGGGAAAGGCUUGCUGCCGGAGGAUCGGCCCGCGUCUGAUUAGCUAGUUGGUGAGGUAACGGCUCACCAAGGCGACGAUCAGUAGCUGGUCUGAGAGGAUGAUCAGCCACACUGGGGCUGAGACACGGCCCAGACUCCUACGGGAGGCAGCAGUGGGGAAUAUUGGACAAUGGGCGCAAGCCUGAUCCAGCCAUGCCGCGUGAGUGAUCAAGGCCUUAGGGUUGUAAAGCUCUUUUAUCCGGGACGAUAAUGACGGUACCGGAGGAAUAAGCCCCGGCUAACUUCGUG